GGAGUUGUAGCUCAGUGGUAGAGUGCUUGCCUGGCAUGCAUGAGGCCCUGGGUUCGAUCCUCAGCACCA
rnacentral:tRNA from 1 species